AUUGAACGCUAGCGGCAUGCUUAACACAUGCAAGUCGAACGGCAUCGCGGGGAGCUUGCUCUCUGGCGGCGAGUGGCGGACGGGUGAGUAACGCGUAGGAAUCUACCUUAUAGUGGGGGAUAACCCGGGGAAACUCGGGCUAAUACCGCAUAAUCUCUACGGAGCAAAGCGGGGGACUUUCGGGCCUCGCGCUGUAAGAUGAGCCUGCGUCGGAUUAGCUUGUUGGUGGGGUAAAGGCCUACCAAGGCGACGAUCCGUAGCUGGUCUGAGAGGACGACCAGCCACACUGGGACUGGGACACGGCCCAGACUCCUACGGGAGGCAGCAGUGGGGAAUAUUGGACAAUGGGGGAAACCCUGAUCCAGCAAUGCCGCGUGUGUGAAGAAGGCCUUAGGGUUGUAAAGCACUUUCCGCGGGGAGGAAAAUAUCAAGGGUAAUAUACUUGAGAAUUGACGUUACCCGCAGAAGAAGCACUGGCUAACUCUGUGCCAGCAGCCGCCGUAA
rnacentral:rRNA from 1 species